UACGGGGGGCGCAAGCGUUGCUCGGAAUCACUGGGCGUAAAGCGUCCGCAGGCGGCUUGGUAAGUCGGGUGUGAAAGCCCGGAGCUCAACUCCGGAACUGCAUUCGAGACUGCCUGGCUCGAGUACGGGAGAGGAUGGCGGAAUUCCUGGUGUAGAGGUGAAAUUCGUAGAUAUCAGGAGGAACACCGGUGGCGAAAGCGGCCAUCUGGCCCGAUACUGACGCUCAUGGACGAAAGCGCGGGGAGCAAACAGG
rnacentral:rRNA from 1 species